AACGAACGCUGGCGGCAUGCCUAACACAUGCAAGUCGAACGAGCCCUUCGGGUCUUUUCUCCUACGGGUUCGUCACGCGUCGGAACCUUCCCUUAUGUUCGGCCUAACUCCCCGACUGGGGUGCUUAUACCAGAUCAUGUCUUCGGCCCAAUGAUUUAUUGCAUUUGGAUGGGCCCGCGUUGGAUUCGCUAGUUGUUAGGGUAAUAGCCUACCACGGCCACCAUGCAUAGCUGGUUUGGGAGGAUGCUCAGCCACACCGGGACUCAGACACGGCCGAGAAUCCUACGGGAGGGAGGAGUGGGGAAUAGUGGAAAAUGGGGGAAAGGCUGAUGGAGCAAGGACGGGUGAGUGAUGAAGGCAUGAGGGUUGAAAAGCGCAUGUAACCGGGAUGAUAAUGACAGUACCGGAAGAAUAAGCUCCGGCUAACUACGUG
rnacentral:rRNA from 1 species